rnacentral:rRNA from 1 species
AGAGUUUGAUCCUGGCUCAGAUUGAACGCUGGCGGCAGGCCUAACACAUGCAAGUCGAGCGGUAGAGAGAAGCUUGCUUCUCUUGAGAGCGGCGCACGGGUGAGUAAUGCCUAGGAAUCUGCCUGGUAGUGGGGGAUAACGUUCGGAAACGGACGCUAAUACCGCAUACGUCCUACGGGAGAAAGCAGGGGACCUUCGGGCCUUGCGCUAUCAGAUGAGCCUAGGUCGGAUUAGCUAGUUGGUGAGGUAAUGGCUCACCAAGGCGACGAUCCGUAACUGGUCUGAGAGGAUGAUCAGUCACACUGGAACUGAGACACGGUCCAGACUCCUACGGGAGGCAGCAGUGGGGAAUAUUGGACAAUGGGCGAAAGCCUGAUCCAGCCAUGCCGCGUGUGUGAAGAAGGUCUUCGGAUUGUAAAGCACUUUAAGUUGGGAGGAAGGGCAGUUACCUAAUACGUGAUUGUUUUGACGUUACCGACAGAAUAAGCACCGGCUAACUCUGUGCCAGCAGCCGCGGUAAUAC